rnacentral:tRNA from 1 species
GCCCGCAUGGCUCAACUGGCAGAGCAGGACCCUCUUAAGGUCAAGGUUCGAGGUUCGAGUCCUCGUGCGGGCA